GUUUCCCUUUUUUGUAAGCCGCUUUGGAUAAAAGCGUCUGCUAAAUGACUGAAU
rfam:Larimichthys crocea isolate SSNF unplaced genomic scaffold scaffold270, whole genome shotgun sequence.